CCUACGGGAGGCUGCAGUGAGGAAUAUUGGUCAAUGGGCGAGAGCCUGAACCAGCCAAGUCGCGUGAAGGAUGACUGUCUUAUGGAUUGUAAACUUCUUUUGUAGGGGAAUAAAGAACGGCACGUGUGCCGUAGUGAAUGUACCCUACGAAUAAGCAUCGGCUAACUCCGUGCCAGCAGCCGCGGUAAUACGGAGGAUGCGAGCGUUAUCCGGAUUUAUUGGGUUUAAAGGGUGCGUAGGCGGCCUGUUAAGUCAGCGGUGAAAUCUAGGGGCUUAACUCCUAAAUUGCCAUUGAUACUGGUGGGCUUGAGUGUAGAUGAGGUAGGCGGAAUGCGUGGUGUAGCGGUGGAAUGCAUAGAUAUCACGCAGAACUCCAAUUGCGAAGGCAGCUUACUAAGGUACAACUGACGCUGAAGCACGAAAGCGUGGGUAUCAAACAGGAUUAGAUACCCUAGUAGUC
rnacentral:rRNA from 1 species